rnacentral:rRNA from 1 species
AGAGAGAGACAUGCGCGCAUAUCAAUAAGCGGAGGAAAAGAAACUAACAAGGAUUCCCUUAGUAACGGCGAGUGAAGCGGGAAGAGCUCAAAUUUGAAAUCUUCAAGGUUUUACCUUGACGAAUUGUAGUUUAAAGAAGUGUUUUCUGCUGAAGUUUUGGUAAAAGUUCUUUGGAAUAGGACAUCAUAGAGGGUGAGAAUCCCGUAUUUGACCAUUAUUUUCAGCUUUGUGAUACACUUUCAAAGAGUCGGAUUGUUUGGGAAUGCAGUCCAAAAUGGGUGGUAAAUUUCAUCUAAAGCUAAAUAUUGGUGAGAGACCGAUAGCGAACAAGUACCGUGAGGGAAAGAUGAAAAGAACUUUGAAAAGAGAGUUAAACAGUACGUGAAAUUGUCAAAAGGGAAGCGUUUGACACCAGUGUUGUUUUCUCGAAAAUCAAUUAAAAAUGGCUCGAUUUUGUAUUGCUUGAGACCUUAAAAGCUCACUGUACAUUUUUCGUGUCUUUUUUAAUGCACUUUUCGUUUAACAAGUCAACAUCAGUUUCUUUUGUUGUAAAAGGGUCAUUGGAAGGUGGCUUUCUUUUCGGAGAAAGUGUUUAUAGCCUUUGGCCUCUGCAAUCGGAGAGACUGAGGUCUGCAGCGUAGACUCUUCGGGGUUAGAUACAUUUGUGCUAAGUUAUAGCUUUUUAUAGACAACUUGUUGACUAUAAUUAGUCUUGUAGCUUACUCGCUUAUGCUAUUUUACCUACGCUUAGGAUGUUGAGUCGUAGAGCACGCA